rnacentral:rRNA from 1 species
UACAGAGGGGGCAAGCGUUGUUCGGAAUUACUGGGCGUAAAGGGCGCGUAGGCGGCCUGUUAAGUCGAACGUGAAAUCCCCGGGCUCAACCCGGGAACUGCGUCCGAUACUGGCAGGCUUGAAUCCGGGAGAGGGAUGCGGAAUUCCAGGUGUAGCGGUGAAAUGCGUAGAUAUCUGGAGGAACACCGGUGGCGAAGGCGGCAUCCUGGACCGGCAUUGACGCUGAUGCGCGAAAGCUAGGGGAGCAAACGGG